AGGAUUAACGCUGGCGGCGUGCAUGAAACAUGCAAGUCGAGCGCGGCGCGUGGCUUCGGUCACGCGUCUAGCGGCGCACGGGUGAGUAACACGUGAGCAACCUACCUUCGAGUUCGGGAUAGCCCUGGGAAACCAGGAUUAAUACCGGAUGUGGUCACAACGGGACAUCCCGAUGUGAAAAAAGGCGCAAGCCGCUCGAUGACGGGCUCGCGGCCUAUUAGCUUGUUGGUGGGGUAACGGCCUACCAAGGCGACGAUGGGUAGCUGGUCUGAGAGGACGAUCAGCCACACUGGGACUGAGACACGGCCCAGACUCCUACGGGAGGCAGCAGUUAGGAAUUUUCCGCAAUGGGCGAAAGCCUGACGGAGCAACGCCGCGUGUGUGAUGAAGGCCUUCGGGUUGUAAGCACUGUCGGAGGGAGAAUGAAUGACGGUACCUCCAAGAAAGCCCGGCUAACUACGUGCCAGCAGCCGCGGU
rnacentral:rRNA from 1 species